rnacentral:lncRNA from 1 species
GGAAAAAAGAACCAAGAAAGAAGUAGCUGGAUGGAUUCGGGCUUGGACUAGGGUUAGAAUUAGGGUUUGGUGGAGGUGAUGCAGAAGAAAGAAAAGUAGAAGACAUGUUAGAAGAAGUAGAUCGAGAGUCAUGAAAUCAGAGAAAGAAACACAAAAUUAAAGAAGUAAAAAAAUUUUGGAAGGAGAUCAAGAGAUGGUGUGGUGCAUGG